CACACUAUUUCUUUUACUUUCCUUUUUUCUAAUGAAUAUUCAAAAAAUAUUUUUCCAACAGCAAUGUCAGUGACUUACCCCUUGUGCCACUAGUCAAUAUGACAGAAGCGUAAAUGUAGGGUUAUCAGAUGGCGGAAAGCUUCCACGAUACGUUACCUCAAUUUGAGUUGCUGACCAUGAUGAGCCAACAGCAACCUGAGAGAACAACACGACUGACUUAGCCCCCAGAAGUGGAUGAUGAUCCACCUGAA